rnacentral:misc_RNA from 1 species
UCGUUUUCGUUUUUUUUUUUUUGCCCCUCCCGGUCAAUUUGCGAUCCCCAUUGGGUGAACUCCGAAGCAAUUUGCCAUCCCCCUUGGGUGAACUCCGAAGUUAAGCGACUCCGAAGUUAAGCGUCGGGCUUAACUUGACGGCAGCGUCGGGCUCGGAACGAGCUUUCCGAAAGGUACUCACGGGCCCCGUGAGUCCAUCGGGAUCGAAAGUUGGGCGCGUGAACGCGGAGACGGGCGGAUUCCGUUUAUUGAGAAAUUAACGUUUCCCGUGUUCCGUCGAAUGUGAGAAGGGCCCCGUCGAUUGAACGGAAAUUGCGCGAAGUCGAACGCUCGAGACUCCUCUCGAGAAGCGAGAGUGAUUCGGUUCAAGUAAAUAUGCAAAUCGACAACAUGGA